AAUGGGACAGCUGGGUCAAAUGGUGGUUCCAUUCCAAGUUUUCAGAGGAAUCGCCAUACUGCCUUCCAGACUGGUUGUACCAAUUUGCAGUCCCACCAGCAAU
rnacentral:pre_miRNA from 1 species